UACAGAGGGUGCGAGCGUUAAUCGGAAUUAUUGGGCGUAAAGCGCGCGCAGGCGGUCCUUUAAGUCUGAUGUGAAAGCCCACGGCUCAACCGUGGAGGGUCAUUGGAAACUGGGGGACUUGAGUACAGAAGAGGAAAGCGGAAUUCCACGUGUAGCGGUGAAAUGCGUAGAGAUGUGGAGGAACACCAGUGGCGAAGGCGGCUUUCUGGUCUGUAACUGACGCUGAGGCGCGAAAGCGUGGGGAGCAAACAGG
rnacentral:rRNA from 1 species